AGAGUUUGAUCCUGCCUCUGAUUGAACGCUGGCGGCAUGCCUUACACAUGCAAGUCGAACGGCAGCACGGACUUCGGUCUGGUGGCGAGUGGCGAACGGGUGAGUAAUGUAUCGGAACGUACCUUUCAGUGGGGGAUAACGUAGCGAAAGUUACGCUAAUACCGCAUAUUCUGUGAGCAGGAAAGCAGGGGAUCGCAAGACCUUGCGCUGAUUGAGCGGCCGAUAUCAGAUUAGCUAGUUGGUGGGGUAAAGGCCUACCAAGGCUACGAUCUGUAGCGGGUCUGAGAGGAUGAUCCGCCACACUGGAACUGAGACACGGUCCAGACUCCUACGGGAGGCAGCAGUGGGGAAUUUUGGACAAUGGGGGCAACCCUGAUCCAGCCAUGCCGCGUGAGUGAAGAAGGCCUUCGGGUUGUAAAGCUCUUUCGGCCGGGAAGAAAUCGCAUAGGUUAAUACCCUGUGUGGAUGACGGUACCGGAAUAAGAAGCACCGGCUAACUACGUGCCAGCAGCCGCGGUAAUACGUAGGGUGCGAGCGUUAAUCGGAAUUACUGGGCGUAAAGCGUGCGCAGGCGGUUUCGUAAGACAGAGGUGAAAUCCCCGGGCUCAACCUGGGAACUGCCUUUGUGACUGCGAAGCUAGAGUACGGCAGAGGGGGGUGGAAUUCCACGUGUAGCAGUGAAAUGCGUAGAGAUGUGGAGGAACACCGAUGGCGAAGGCAGCCCCCUGGGCCGAUACUGACGCUCAUGCACGAAAGCGUGGGUAGCAAACAGGAUUAGAUACCCUGGUAGUCCACGCCCUAAACGAUGUCAACUAGGUGUUGGGUGGGUAAAACCAUUUAGUACCGUAGCUAACGCGUGAAGUUGACCGCCUGGGGAGUACGGCCGCAAGGUUAAAACUCAAAGGAAUUGACGGGGACCCGCACAAGCGGUGGAUGAUGUGGAUUAAUUCGAUGCAACGCGAAAAACCUUACCUACCCUUGACAUGUUCAGAAUCCCGGAGAGAUUUGGGAGUGCCCGAAAGGGAGCUGGAACACAGGUGCUGCAUGGCUGUCGUCAGCUCGUGUCGUGAGAUGUUGGGUUAAGUCCCGCAACGAGCGCAACCCUUGUCGUUAAUUGCCAUCAUUUAGUUGGGCACUUUAACGAGACUGCCGGUGACAAACCGGAGGAAGGUGGGGAUGACGUCAAGUCCUCAUGGCCCUUAUGGGUAGGGCUUCACACGUCAUACAAUGGUCGGUACAGAGGGUUGCCAAGCCGCGAGGUGGAGCCAAUCCCAGAAAGCCGAUCGUAGUCCGGAUUGCAGGCUGCAACUCGCCUGCAUGAAGUCGGAAUCGCUAGUAAUCGCGGAUCAGCAUGUCGCGGUGAAUACGUUCCCGGGUCUUGUACACACCGCCCGUCACACCAUGGGAGCGGGUUCCGCCAGAAGUAGGUAGCCUAACCGCAAGGGGGGCGCUUACCACGGCGGGGUUCGUGACUGGGGUGAAAUGGUAACAAGGUAACCGUA
rnacentral:rRNA from 1 species